rnacentral:lncRNA from 1 species
GCUUAUAAGCAUUUGGCUGUGGUAUCAUUCAGUGAUAUUUGCUGAGUAUUAGUAUGGUAUUAGUAUGGCAUAUUCAGAUUUAUGGUUUGGAAUGUGACAGGGAAGUCCUCUAGUGUUUGUAUGUGUUAGGGAUGUGGGAAGGUUGGUGCUUGUCACUUACUGUUCAACAGGAUAACAAAAAGCCUCCUGCCACUUUUCCAUGUGGUGUCUACUAUUUAAUUACCAUGUUAUUACCCAAGGGACACGAAACUACUCAGUCGAGACAGACAUGGGGAAAAAAGUUGCAGGUAAACAGCAGGAAAUCCGUAAGGUUUCCAAUAUGCCUUAAGUUUUCUACAGACAUUGCUCUUCCUGCUUUCUCACUACUGAGGUUGUCAGCCAUUGUAGAGUCCCUAAUUAGCUGUUACUGGCCUCUCAGCAACUGUGUCCUCAAAUACAGAUAAUAAGAUUGAUACUAGUUAGAAAGAUGGUGCUUUUCUAGAAGACUGUCAUAAGACAUAAUGAAAAGUACAGCGUUUAUGAUUUUUUCUUAAAGCUUUUAGGCAAUACAAAUGACAUUGGAAAAGUAAACUCAUUCAGCACACUGUGUACAUUUUUUCUCAAGUGCUCAUUUAUAAGAUGGUUAAUUUGAUACUUUUGGAAGUAAUUUUUUAUUCUUUUGAAUUUACCAUUAAAAAAAGGUAAUGAUCUCAACACAAAAAGCAGUGACAAAAAGUAUGAAAUGCUGAUUAAACCAGUAGCAUGGAAGGAUCAAAUCAGAAUUGUUGCUUUUCAGGCCUGUUCUGUGUAUAUACACACAUAUAUUCUUAAAGUAUAUGUAAAAAUACAUAUUUAUAUAGAGAAAUUUGGAGAAAGUCGCAUAGCUUUUGUUUCUGGGGAGACUCAGCUUAUUUCUUAGAGACAGCAUUCUUCUGUUUGUUUUUCUAAGACAGUAAGAACUUCUACAAGCAAGGAAGGUCUGGCCUAGAGUACUUGUAUCACAAGAGCCAGUGUUUGCAGCUUCCCACCUGCAUACAGCACACCAGGAUCCAGAAAUAAGGCAUUCUGUGAGUAAUAAAAGAUUUGCAGCUGAAGUAUCAUCACUCACUAAUUUCAUUUUCUGGAGAUGUAGCUGUCCUUGUCUUUUAGUCAGAUAAGGUCUCAAAGGGUGCAAAGGAAAGCACUGAAUACAUGGGUACAUUGAAAAGGAUUACCUUAUAGAAGAGGUGAAUCUGGACAUAACUUCUGAACACUGAAAGCAUGGUGGUGGUGCCAGAGGAAUUAAGAGAAGAGCAGCACUGUAGUUUAUUGUCCUAAUUCUACAUCAACUUAUCUACAGAUAUCCAUCAAACACAGAGCAAUGUAUACCUUGAAGCGUUUAAUUUGUAAAGUAUAGGACUUUCCCCAUGUCCCCAUAACAAGCACUCAGAGUCUGUCUUGGGCAUCUUGGUAAUCCUGCUUUGAGGGCCAAGUCUUUCAUCUCCUGUACUGAACAGGACUAAUUUUGGUAUCUAAACUCCAGGAAAUGGUGAAAUAUUUCAGUUCUUCCACACUGAGAAGGAUUGCAGUUUGAAAGAGAGAUUUGCUGACCUUGUCAGGUUAAGCCACAAUUUUUGUCUAUAUUGUCCUUUUUUUUUUUUUUUUAAACCCAGAUCAGUCUUCUGUCAUCAGAUAAGCCAGCAUUUAUUUGUUCUUAUUUGGAGUCCAAGGCACGUACUAUGCAGAGAUACCUUAAGGUGGCUACUUGCCACUCCUGAAUCCCCUUAGAUUUUUGGGAUAUUAAAAUGAUAACAGUAUGUGCAUGUGUCUACUUCUCCUGCAGGCAAAAUUCCUGUUGAAAUCAAUGAGCUAUCCUACAAGCACACUCUGGGCUCUGAAUUACCACCUAAUGAAUUUACACAUUAUCACCUGUCUUUGUUUGAAAUCUGCUAACGGAAAUUUGCUCUGUGUACUGCAUGCAGGAUGAAAGUGUGUUAGCAGCAAUAAUCCCCAUCCUGCAGGCUCUGCAACAGGGUAACUCAAUGUCAGCUAGCACAUGCCUUUGCCUUCAGGUAAAAAAAUAUAACCUGUGUCAAGAUUUGCUUUGCAUUAGCAGCCAGAGUAGUGAGACUAUUUUGUACCUAUCUAUAUAGGGAAACUAAAUCCCUCCCUGCUGCUUACAUGAAAAUCUUGAUUUUUUGGUAGAAAUAUGGGAAGUUUUUGGAUCAAGGCUGCAGAAGUCUAUGAAGAAAACUUGAACAUGAGACACACAAGUAAUGCUAACAUAUCUGAACUCUGAAGAAUGCCCAAUGAGAAGAUUAAGGUGCGAUUCAGAGAGAGCAGUUCACAUAGAACAAAGUUGUUAUGGCUCCUUUAUAAUUGUUCAGCCUUACUAUUUCAUUUGCAAGCAGACGUAAUCACUGUAACAUCCUGCUGGGCUGUUUUAAAGUUAUAGGUGUGCCCAGUUGUAGCUCCUGCAUGCCCCAUACACACAUUACAGUGAAAACAUUAUUUUAUAUUGCUGAUUCAUCUCAAAUCCUUUCCCAUACUGCACUGAAACCCCACAGUCUGUCCUUUGCCCUUAGAAGGAUCCCAGUACCACCUGGGAUAUCUAUUUUUGUCUUCUGAAAGAGUAUUCCAGAACAGCAAGUCCUUACCCCAUUAUACAAAGGAUCUCCAGUCUGUCUCCGUUACCAGGAUAGCACACAGCAGAAGAACAAAGUUCUGUGACCUCCAGGGAUUAGCCUCUUCAGGGAUUUCAAGGUAGAAAAGUUCGUCAGCUUCUGAAAAACACAAAGUCAGAGGGUGAGUCGCAGACACACAGAUAACAGCGAUGCAACAGCAUUUCAGGUACCAUGUAAAGAUUCUAGACUGGGAAGGGGGAGAUUCCCUGUAGAUAUCAACACUGAUUUUCAGCUUUAGGAAAGCAGCCUUCACCGCUAGAUAAUCAGUGAUCUGGGUGCCAUCUUUCUGUAUUAUACAGGCCUGAGUGUAGCGGAGUGUCUCUUCCCAGCUCCCAUUCUGGCUUCACUGAAGUUUAGAUAAGCAGCCAGUUGAUGACACCUCACAACGAGGAUUUUUAAUUCCUGGCCUUCACAUUAAAAAAAAAAAAGAAAGAAAAAAGGUGAUUCUUAAUUCCCCAUGGGAAUUAUUUUAGUUUUAAGUUGAGGCUGUAGAAUAAGGAUUAUGUGGCAUUCCUGAUAUUAGUGCUUAGCAGUCAAAAUAUUCUCGAGGGUUAAAAAGAACAAAACAUAAUUAGCAGCAUCCUAGGAGUGCAUCGUUAAAUUUGCAUCUUUGUUGUAAGUAUAAGAUGGGCAUUCUGAGCAUAUGAUCAGAUGCAAUUCCCUACCGCCUUAUAAACAUUAGCUCACACUCUUCAUAUUACAAAGGUCAUUCAUAAGGCUUCUGUCCCAGGUCCUCAGUUGGACUUACAGCCUGCUUACAGAGUUCUAUGGAUCCCCAUUCUGAUUUGCAUGUGCAUUUUCAAUUGUGGGGUGCCUGGGCUUAUUUUUUAGAUGAUUAACAUAUCUCACGUAACAAAAAAGAGUCCAUUAGAUGAUGAUGCAUUUUCCACUGGCAGCACGAAGAAAAGCCUGAAGGGACACUCAGGAGCAUGAAACUGAAUCCUCCCUAUUCCUGCAUAGCAAGUUCUGCAGGAAGAGCUGCACUGGCUUGCUAGAGAUGCGAUGUAGGAACACUAGUCCUGCAGUCAGUAAGGCACACAGCUCUCUGUAGAACAACAUCAAUCAAAUGUAAAUUCUUACACACUCGCUAUUCGUCUGUGGAGAGUAAGAUUUGUCUCUGCUUUCCAUUAGGGUUGGGUGCAGAACUUUUUCUGCUUCCCUCAGACUCACCUGCUGAGGCAGGUCCUCUCUAGCUCUGUUCCCAUUUGAUUUCAGUCGGCCAAGGGCAGAAAAGCUGGAGGACGUUCAAGUGAUGUCUGACCCACCAGAUGAGAGCACGUCUCUAGGAGUUGCUGUGAUGGUGGAUUCACUGAACACCACAGCACAAAGGCACUACUGGAACUGGCCUGAGAAGGACCCUUCUGACCCUGACACCUGUACAUGGAGAGGAGCAGCAGAGGACAGUCUUAACUAAAAACCAGCGUGCUCUCAGCAUUUGGGACUGAAGGGUAAUAUGCUUUGCAGCAACUACGUAGAAUAACCACCUCCUUGCCAGAACAGUGGCAAAACAAUUCACCUGAAGAGACCUAGAGCCCUUCAGACAGUAUGGCUAAAUACCAACGUAUGCAUACCAGACUAUAUUGGGAUGAUGCAGCUCUUUUAACAAAGAAAUUUCUCGGAUAGCAGUACUUGGAACACCUUCCUCCUCACUUUCUAGACGUAUUUUCUUCAUUGCAACCACUUGGCCUGUGGUUUUGUGGCGCCCUUUAUACACAACACCAUAGGUACCUUCCCCAAUCUUCUCUAUCUUCGUGUAAUCCUCCAUGGCUGUGGGUAUACCUUCCCGCAGCGGGUACCACGGCGAACCCGAGGCGCCAGCGCCGCCGCCCAGCUCCGCGCCGCAGGGAAGUCCUCAGCCGGGCGCGGGGGCGGGCGCCGCGCAUUCGAACCGGCCGCGCGGAGCCGUCGCCGCGUCCCACCAAUGGAGCCGCGCCGGGAUGAUUCAAAGCGGCCAAUCAGAGCGCUCCGCUCCGGCGGCGCCAAAGAGCGAACGAAAAGCGCCAGGGAAGAGCGGCGCGAGCGGCCCGUCCCGCGGCACAGCGACCCCUGCGGGCGUGGCGGCGUUCGGCGCCCGAGCCGCUGAGGGAAGGGCCGGCCCUCGAGGGGCAGCGCCGUAAAUCCAUCGCGUCCGGCUCCGAGGGCGCUGAUCCGCAACGCGCUUGUUUAAACCAUACGCGUCGCUGAAAGGUCACUGGCCGCUUUAAUGCCACAAAACGUAGCCGUGUGGAAAAUUAAAGCCCCGUGUGACAGCUCUCAGAUGCAAAUCAAUUCGUCACUGUGUUAUAAGAGCUUUCGAAGAAGAUCGGGAACAUCACUGGAGAUGUAAAGCGGGAGCCGGCUCUCCCCGUGCCCACUGUGUCGUCGUGACAGCGCGGAGAAAGCGAGAGCCGUGCGGGACUGCUCGCUGUGGGAACAGCCGCAAGUGCAGAACGGCUGCUGGCGUUUGUUUGCUGUUGGUGGGGCUCGUGCUCUGCGGGGAGGCGGCCCACGUUCAGCCACCUCCGCUUCGGGUACCUCCAUCCCUGCGGUCGGAAUUCUGCCCCGCCCGCUGCUGCCAGCAGCUCCCGUGGAAGCCUGUGGUCCCCGCGGCACUGAGGUGGAAGCGCAGCCGCACGCUGAUGAACUCUUUCCUAUUGGUUCGCUGCAGCGGUUGGCGUUUUUGAAAGAGCGUUGCUCCCAAGUGUGAGCAGGACGGGCCGGGCUCUGAAAAUCCGUGCAGCUUUUCCCCGUCGAGGCAUCUCUGUCGGACGCUGAUUUCAGCAGGCAGAACUGCUCGCCGUGCACUUCCUUCUUCCCCGUUGCUCGCGGCAAAGGCGAGAGGCCGCCGCCCGGCUCCUCCCCCUCCGACACACAUCGGUUUCAGCAACAUAAAUCCUCCGCUUUCCCCUCCCUCGAGGGGAAUUUUUGCCCCCGAGGAACAGGCGGCACGCGUGCCCUCCAGUUUCUGUUUACCUCGAGGUUUGCGUUCCCAGCACUUGCCGAGAGUACCCGCAUAGAACAAAGCCGUUGCAUCACUUUGGGAAGCCCCGGGCAGAAGAAUCAACGCAGUUUGUAGGGAGCGAGCCGGGCGUGCUUUGUACGGGCACAGAGAAGCCCUCUCCUGUGUAAUGAAUCCAGCACGGCCCGGGCUCAGCAGCACGCAGGACUGGCUGCACAGCUGAAGCAAAGUGUUUGUGACACGUCCCUCAGGCCUGACUGCACGGCCAGCACAGUCAGCCCGUGUGUGCUCAACAGCUCUGGGGGGCUGCAUUGUGCAUCCAGCACAGGUCAGAACCACUGCCACUGACUCAGCCGGACUGGUCCUCGUCCAUGUAUUAUAGGAGGGUGGCCCAAAUCGAUCUUUCCCUUCCAAUGAAAGUGUGGCAAAUCCCAGUCUUAACCUGAAUUAAUGUUUUAAAUAGCAGCAGCAUCCUUCUCAGUUGCUCCUUGUGGCACGGUGAGCUGCCGGCCAGGACCCUGGGCCUUCCCCCUCACCCCCCAAACCAGGACCUGAAAUGACAAGUUUUGACCUCUUUGCCAUUUUUGUGUGGCACUCUUUAGGAAAAAAAAACGGGGGUGUGCGUGGCUUUGGGAUCAGUCUGAUGGCUGUUGUGCUCUAAGCCCGAUAUAACAGCCCCCACCACCUUAUCUGUUCUUGUGACACUGCCUCAAUACACAGGUUGUGCUGACUUAAUCACAGCCUAAUCAGCUCAGGUGCUGCACGCUCCAAACACAGUGCUUUCUCACUGUGUUCUGGCCAGCUUCCUUGGAAGGCCAAAUGCAUUAAUGCCACGACAGACCUGUAGUUAAAUUUGCCAAAUAUCUGUUUGACGGUUCUGAUUACCUACAACUUUCCUCCCUCUGUUGUCCGGUUAUCCUCAGGAUAUAAAACAUCUCCC